rnacentral:lncRNA from 1 species
UCAGUCAUGGCACAAAGGCGCUCGCUUGAUUUUGUCCGCAGGAUAAAACGGCACGGAAGGAACCUCUUCAUUCAUCUUGAAGGCGUUUGCUGCAGACAUGAUCAUUCGGCUUGGAAGACUGACGCCGGGAUACUUCCGACUCCUCCAGAGGCAGGUGGCAGGGGAAGUGCAGACCCAGCCGAAGGACCGCGCGGUCAACCAGAUUGCCAUGAUGCUGGCCAUCAUGGGCCUUAGCCUGUCCUACUACAGCGCUCGGCAGAUGACGGAGAAGGUGCAGACUGAACCCACCCCGUGAGGAAUUCCACAGACCCUGGUCUUCCGUGAGCCUGGAAGGGAGGGAGGGAGGGAGGAGAUGCCAUUGUCCAGCACCUUUCAUGUCAUGUUAUCAUAGGCAUGUUCACUCGAUAGUCAAAUCGCUAACCAAGGACCAGGAGGUGAGGACUUUUUUUUUUUUUUUUUUUUUUUUUUUUUUUUUUUUCUUUUUUUUUUUGGGGGGGGGGGGGGGGGUCAGGUUAGAAAUGGGAACAGUUUUAAAAUGGUGCACGUAUUAUACAUUGAAAGUUUGCAUACAGGGAAGAUCAUGGGGAUAAGGGAUAGCAGUCCCCAGACCUUUGGAUUCUGUGAAUGAAUUUCAAAUUAUAUGUAAAGCCUUACAGAGCCUGUAGUACUGUGAAUAACACACCCCAGGAAUUGGUCAAUACUGAGCAACACACACAACCAGUGUUUGGUUUCUUGCUCUGAAAUCUUGCAUUUAGUUGAAAAACAUAAUAUAAGUGAAAUACAAUGGGGCUUAAUCACGAUCUUGCUGGCUACCCAAAGUUCUCCAGUGUUGAUCAUUGUGCUUUGAAUUAAUAAGGUCAAUUUGUAUGAUGUACAAUGUUGAUAUGUCGCAUUGUAGUUGAAACAUACUGGCAAAAUUGAUGGAUGUAGAGCCAGAUUGUCUUAGUGUUUUGGGCUUUGGACUCACCUGCCCCACAUGAUAUGAUGCAUGGCUGUGGAGCUUGGAUCAUGAGUCACCCAAACUUUCUUGUGUAAAUGUAGCUCUUUAAAAGGAGAAUGGAAUGAAUAUCUGCUGUACUACCUGUAUAUUUUUAAAUGGUGAAAUAAAGCUGUGAAAUGUGAAUAUGAAGGAGGAUAA